CCCCAGUAAACGGCGGCCGUAACUAUAACGGUCCUAAGGUAGCGAAAUUCCUUGUCGGGUAAGUUCCGACCCGCACGAAAGGCGUAACGAUUUGGGCACUGUCUCAACAACAGACUCGGUGAAAUUGUAAUUCCGGUGAAGAUGCCGGAUACCUGCGACAGGACGGAAAGACCCCAUGGAGCUUUACUGUAGCUUGACAUUGGGUCUUGGUACUACAUGUACAGGAUAGGUGGGAGGCUUUGAAACCAGGACGCCAGUUUUGGCGGAGCCAUCCUUGGGAUACCACCCUUGUAGUACUGGGACUCUAACCAUAGGCCAUGAAUCUGGUCUUGGGACACUGUCAGGUGGGCAGUUUGACUGGGGCGGUCGCCUCCCAAAAGGUAACGGAGGCGCUCAAAGGUUCUCUCAGUACGGUCGGAAAUCGUACGUAGAGUGUAAAGGCAAAAGAGAGCUUGAUUGCAAGACAUACAGGUCGAGCAAGGAUGAAAAUCGGACUUAGUGAUCCGGUGGUUCUGCGUGGAAGGGCCAUCGCUCAACGGAUAAAAGCUACCCUGGGGAUAACAGGCUUAUCUCCCCCAAGAGUCCACAUCGACGGGGAGGUUUGGCACCUCGAUGUCGGCUCAUCACAUCCUGGGGCUGUAGUAGGUCCCAAGGGUUGGGCUGUUCGCCCAUUAAAGUGGUACGCGAGCUGGGUUCAGAACGUCGUGAGACAGUUCGGUCCCUAUCCGUCGCAGGCGUAGGAAAUUUGAGAAGACCUGUCCUUAGUACGAGAGGACCGGGAUGGACGUACCUCUGGUGUAC
rnacentral:rRNA from 1 species